UUAGCGGCGGACGGGUGAGUAACACGUGGGUAACCUGCCUGUAAGACUGGGAUAACUCCGGGAAACCGGGGCUAAUACCGGAUGGUUGUUUGAACCGCAUGGUUCAAACAUAAAAGGUGGCUUCGGCUACCACUUACAGAUGGACCCGCGGCGCAUUAGCUAGUUGGUGAGGUAACGGCUCACCAAGGCAACGAUGCGUAGCCGACCUGAGAGGGUGAUCGGCCACACUGGGACUGAGACACGGCCCAGACUCCUACGGGAGGCAGCAGUAGGGAAUCUUCCGCAAUGGACGAAAGUCUGACGGAGCAACGCCGCGUGAGUGAUGAAGGUUUUCGGAUCGUAAAGCUCUGUUGUUAGGGAAGAACAAGUACCGUUCGAAUAGGGCGGUACCUUGACGGUACCUAACCAGAAAGCCACGGCUAACUACGUGCCAGCAGCCGCGGUAAUACGUAGGUGGCAAGCGUUGUCCGGAAUUAUUGGGCGUAAAGGGCUCGCAGGCGGUUUCUUAAGU
rnacentral:rRNA from 4 species